GUCCAACAUUAACUGCCGCAGGACGCGUAAAUCUUCGCUGGCACUCGACGACGAGAACAAUAGUCGUUUGCUUCAAUUGGAAUCCAUUCCCGAUUCGCCUUCCUUCGCCCCUAAUCCGCGUGCGCUCCAAUCGGAUUAUAAAGCUGCAAUCUUGUGGGAUUUGGAGAUCAUUUCUGGAUCGACUGCAGCAUCUCUUUGAAUCAUCGGAAAAAGAGUUCGAUUCCCUCGAGGCAAAUGGGUCACCAUCACCACCACCACCACCAUGACGGAAUCAACCCAUAUGAGAAUCCCUUCUUGUUCUGCUGCUGCUGCCCAUGCUUGCUUGUGAGUUCCGUACUUAGAGGAAUUGGAAGCUGCAUCUUCGUGUCAUGUUACCCCAUCUUACGGUGCCUUGGCUUGGAGCGCGACCACCAUCACCCCCAUCACCAUCACUGUUGAUAUAUCUUGUGGCUUCUAAAUGUUGGAUGAACGUGACCUGUUGCUAAAGUUUCUCAAUUGUCGUGAUCUCUUAAAGCAAAAAAAAAAAACACAAAAAUCUUCUUGGAUGAACAUGGCCCCGUUGUUGAAGUUUCUCAGCUGAAAAAUAGGAAAUUUCUUGCAUGUUGAUUAUUGUGAGUAAAUAUCUACCAGAAAAUAUUUAGCACUUUAUAUGAGAUAUUGGUUUCCAUUCUUAACAAUACAAUGUUGUGUUCUUGAUGUUUUCUCACAGUUAGGAUGAAUAUAUACAAUCUACUAUUUGGUUCUAAUGACUUGUUCCUCUCA